CCUACGGGUGGCAGCAGUGGGGAAUAUUGCACAAUGGGGGAAACCCUGAUGCAGCGACGCCGCGUGAGUGAAGAAGUAUUUCGGUAUGUAAAGCUCUAUCAGCAGGGAAGAAAUAGCGACCUUUGGGUCGCCAGACGGUACCUGAUUAAGAAGCCCCGGCUAACUACGUGCCAGCAGCCGCGGUAAUACGUAGGGGGCAAGCGUUAUCCGGAUUUACUGGGUGUAAAGGGAGCGUAGACGGCAGCGCAAGUCUGAAGUGAAAUGCCGGGGCUUAACCCCGGAACUGCUUUGGAAACUGUGCAGCUAGAGUGCAGGAGAGGUAAGUGGAAUUCCGAGUGUAGCGGUGAAAUGCGUAGAUAUUAGGAGGAACACCAGUGGCGAAGGCGGCUUACUGGGCUGUAACUGACGUUGAGGCUCGAAAGCGUGGGGAGCAAACAGGAUUAGUACCGAGUAUC
rnacentral:rRNA from 1 species